CUAGAUAGGAUAGUAAAAACUGUAUAUAUAUUCAUUAUUAUAACAUUUAGCUCCACCAUUUAUUCUAAAUAAAAUAGAGUACUGCUCUCUAGCUAAGGCUCCAUAGACUGCCGAAACACAACUGACAGGCAGGUACAAAAACUCUUAAGAAAACUAUUAACUCUUGGCAAUACCGCAAUAACAUGGUAAUGAUACAAUGGCAAAGAAAUUGAUGGGUUAUAAAAACCUGAACUUAACUAAGAACAGGGAGUUCUCAAUAUUCUUGUAAUAAUCAACAAUGAAUUUUAACCAUGUUGUGACCAUACUCUCUCAGUUGUGCUGCAUCCAUGUGCUUCAAUUCACCCUCCCUAACUAUGAAAAGAAAAUUCAAAGAUUAUACGUAAAAGCACGUUCGGCAAAUAUAAACUUUAAAGCAAUGAGCAUACAUGCAAAGUGUAAUGAUUUUGAAGUGAUACAUUUUAACAUCAAACAAAGGCAAUUAAUAACACAUUAAAAGCGAAGCAUUUUGACAUCAAAGUAACCACAAUUUUAUUGAGUACUAUACCAUCCAUAACUCAGAGUUUGUUGAAGGCAACUCAGUUUUUACUUUUGACAAACCAAAGGAAAAAGCAUAUUGAUGAGCUACAACAAGGCCAAUCAUUUUUCAUCAUUCAUGGCAACACUAAAUCAAUGGAAAAGUAUGAGUUUGUUGAAGUCGUAAACUACACAGUAGUACUUAUUCUCGUUAUGGUACUAGACAUAGAGUUAGUCUUGGAUUUAAUUGUUAACUGGUUGAACAAGAUAAGUUUUAUGGAAAAAAAAUGUUCAACUUGUCCAGAGCAUAUGUUAUAGAUAAAGUUAAAAAGGUUUACAUCCAAUGCAAUCAGAAAUUCAAAUUAUGCAGAGCCUUUUUUAUAGGUUAAAAUUAUGCAGAGCCUUGACAAACACAUGGUUUCAUUGACCAAUCUAAAUAAACUAUUUCUUUCCAUAGCUAUAUCUACUAUUGCAAAUAAUUUUUAACUAGUAAGCUUUCUCAGAAGUCACAACCUUCCAGAGGAAAGCAACCUUAGAACUAACACUGCACUUGAGCUUUUAGAAAACAUAUUGAUAAAGUUCUACCUCAUUAUUUAUUUCCUUGACUAACAUGGAAAUCCAACAGCCAUAUUUUAUUAUACUGAAAAUAAAAUAAAUGCUUAGGAGCUCAAACAGUGACAAACAUGAAUCUCACGCGACUGAAAAAAUGAAGUAAAUAUUUUUUUUAUAAGAAGAGAGUAGUCUCCUAAUAAAACUAAGGACAACAACAACUGUACUACAACAACUAUUACUAUUACGCCUCAAUUUUCAAGCUAGUAUGAUUAGAUAUAUGAAUCCUCACUAACCAUUUUGACUACCAAAGAUAAAUACAAAAUAUAAAUCCUUGCCAGGCAGAAUAUAAAGUACAAAGCUCCCACCCAAUUGCAAAAAUUAGAAUAUAGUUUCUGUAACUUCUUGUAUUUUAUUAAUCAUUGAGAGAAGUUGAAGUAUGAAGUAUGUCCCAACUACUACAAAUUUCUAAUAACAUGAGGUGAGUAAGGACCAUGAGGGGCAAGUAUAUAUAGUCUUUCCCUAACCUUUCCCCCCUAUUAAACCCAAUGGACUUGUUUUGUAGCAAAAAUAUGCAAGCACCUAUUUAUUGGGCACCCGAAGUUAUUGGUCGUGCAUUGGGUAUCUUUAUAGGAAAUGAAGCACUAUCCAAUAGUCAUAGCAACAUCUACAAUUUAUAAUUAUGACUUUUAUUCUUUAAUUUUUUAUUUUUGGUUGAUGAAUAUGGUCAUAGUUCAAUUUAUUCAACCAGCCUAAAGCUCUAAGGUUAAACUUUCAGUUGGUGUGAAAAACGCCUCUUACUUGAGAGGAUCAGUUGAGUAGCAAAGGAAGCUUACAUAAGACCUUGUUAAUAACCCCAAGCAAUAAGAGAAUUAUCGAACAUAUGAUGUCACCAAUUAUAUAUGAAGAAAAGUUAAUUUAGAGAGGUGAGGUUUACCUCAUACAUAGCCUAUUGCAUCUCCGAACACGUAAGUUCAAAUUUCUGCUAUACAUAGGCUCAUUUUAUUCUUUUUAUCUGCUUGCAGAGUUCAAUGGAAGAAUACGUGUAUUUCAUCAAACAAUUGGCAUGCACUAUGCACAUAAGAAAAUACAGUAAAAAUAAUCUCACAAGUCACAUAUCAACAAUGAUUAUAUUUGUCUGUACACAAGAAUAAGAUUAAAAUAACAGAAAGAAUAUAAAAUUACAAUGGUAAGAAUCAAAAGAGGGAUCUAUUAUACCUUGUAGAGUUGUAGAAUAGUGAUGAAAAGAGCACUAAGUCAUUGCUGACUUCACAAUGGUAAACUUUUGCUGACUUUACAAUAGUAAAAUAUUAAGUGGGAUCUGCAGAAUAUCAAUGAAAAAUGCAAGGAAACAAAAACUGGACGAGUUAUGCUCAAUCAAUUCUUGGAAAAUAAACACUGAAUGUUUUUCUAGCUUUAAUUUUCCACCAGCAAAAUUAAGGUUUGACUGACGAAGUCUAUGGGCAGCGACAGAGAUUGAUAGAGAGUAGCGAGAGAUGAGUUAUAAUACCUGAGUUUUGGGGAUGGUGGCCUGCGAUAGGGAGACAGAGCGACAAGGGUUGGGCAAUAACGACGAGAGCA
rnacentral:lncRNA from 1 species